GACGAACGCUGGCGGCGUGCCUAAUACAUGCAAGUAGAACGCUGAAGAGAGGAGCUUGCUCUUCUUGGAUGAGUUGCGAACGGGUGAGUAACGCGUAGGUAACCUGCCUUGUAGCGGGGGAUAACUAUUGGAAACUAUAGCUAAUACCUCAUAACAAUGGAUGACACAUGUCAUUUAUUUGAAAGGGGCAAUUGCUCCACUACAAGAUGGACCUGCGUUGUAUUAGCUAGUAGGUGAGGUAAUGGCUCACCUAGGCGACGAUACAUAGCCGACCUGAGAGGGUGAUCGGCCACACUGGGACUGGGACACGGCCCAGACUCCUACGGGAGGCAGCAGUAGGGAAUCUUCGGCAAUGGGGGCAACCCUGACCGAGCAACGCCGCGUGAGUGAAGAAGGUUUUCGGAUCGUAAAGCUCUGUUGUAAGUCAAGAACGGGUGUGAGAGUGGAAAGUUCACACUGUGACGGUAGCUUACCAGAAAGGGACGGCUAACUACGUG
rnacentral:rRNA from 1 species